UUUUUGGUUUUUCUUGUUUCUCUUUCCAAAAUGGCAGCCACCAGCCGCGCGCAAGUGUUAGAUCUGUACCGAGCGAUGCUGAGAGAGAGCAAGCAUUUCAACGCCUAUAAUUACAGAAUGUAUGCUGUCAGGAGGAUAAGAGAUGCCUUCAGAGAAAAUAAAAAUGUAAAGGACCCUGUAGAAAUUCAAAACCUAGUGAAUAAAGCCAAAAGAGACCUUGAAAUAAUUCGUCGACAGGGACUAAACCUCAGCUAGAAGACCUGAAUGCUGGGAGCUGGAAUCAUCUUCUUCAUUACUUGGCUGGCACCUGAUGCCGUCUGGCAGCUGGGGGCCUAGCCAGGACCGUCAGCCAGAACAUGCUUGCACAGCCUCUCUCUGAAGCCUGGAUUCCCUCCCAAUAUGGUGGCUGGGUUCCCAGAGCCAGGGUCCCAAGUAAGAGCCAGUCAGAAUCCAUUUUGCCUUCAGGACAUAACCUUAGGAAUUGUCAAGGUCACAGAACCUGCCCAGGCUCAAGGAGAAUGAACUGAAACUCCUGCCUAUGGAAGAAGGUCAAGCCACUUUGUAGGUUCAUAUUGGCCAACUCUAUUCAACUGACAAGCUUGUAAUUGAGAAUCAAGAGAAGCCAAGGACCUAGGGAGCAGGGAACCAGCCACCAACGGGGCCGUGGACCACCUUCAGCAUCCAUUCUGUGUGCAGGCUGGACCUCCCAACGCCAGCUGAAAAUAGCCUCUCGCUUUGCCUGCCCAGUAGGAGCUGACAAACUGAGCCACGUUUCCAUUCUGUUACAGCCUCAGUAGGAAAGAUGGCUGUGCCUUCUCGGUUCAAGUGUUGGCAUGAAGGGUGGAGGUUGCUCAGAAUAAUGCUGUGUGUUACUGUCUCCUCUCCAUCGCACCCAUCUUGUAGUUCAUCGCCAUUUGUAAAGAACAUUUACAGACUUGUUUUUCUUGGUCCUUGAAAUAAACCAGUGUCUCCCUUUUC